rnacentral:misc_RNA from 1 species
GAGUUGUAUAUUGUCUCCCAUUGGAAAUGAGAUAAGAUGUAUUUUUCCUGUUAGGUUUUAUACCGCACUCUCGAUGUCUGCCCAUUUUUAAGUUAAAUAUAGCUGUAUGGGAAAGUACAUUUUAUUAAAUUUUGCAUUAAAAAGUGAAAUGUUUAUGGUAUACCCAAAAAAAAAAAAAAAAAAAAGCGGCCGC